rnacentral:rRNA from 1 species
ACUCCUACGGGAGGCAGCAGUGGGGAAUAUUGCACAAUGGGGGAAACCCUGAUGCAGCCAUGCCGCGUGUGUGAAGAAGGCCUUCGGUUGUAAAGCACUUUCAGUAGGGAGGAAGGUAGUGUAGUUAACACCUGCAUUAUUUGACGUUACCUACAGAAGAAGCACCGGCUAACUCCGUGCCAGCAGCCGCGGUAAUACGGAGGGUGCGAGCGUUAAUCGGAAUUACUGGGCGUAAAGCGCAUGCAGGCGGCCUGUUAAGUCAGAUGUGAAAGCCCGGGGCUUAACCUCGGAAUUGCAUUUGAAACUGGCAGGCUAGAGUCUUGUAGAGGGGGUAGG